AUUGAACGCUGGCGGCAUGCCUUACACAUGCAAGUCGAACGGCAGCACGGGAGCAAUCCUGGUGGCGAGUGGCGAACGGGUGAGUAAAGUAUCGGAACGUGCCCAGUCGUGGGGGAUAACGUAGCGAAAGUUACGCUAAUACCGCAUACGAUCUAUGGAUGAAAGCGGGGGAUCGCAAGACCUCGCGCGAUUGGAGCGGCCGAUAUCAGAUUAGGUAGUUGGUGGGGUAAAGGCUCACCAAGCCGACGAUCUGUAGCUGGUCUGGGAGGACGACCAGCCACACUGGGACUGAGACACGGCCCAGACUCCUACGGGAGGCAGCAGUGGGGAAUUUUGGACAAUGGGCGAAAGCCUGAUCCAGCCAUGCCGCGUGCAGGAUGGAGGCCUUCGGGUUGUAAACUGCUUUUGUACGGAACGAAAAGGUUUGGCCUAAUAAGCUGAGCUCAUGACGGUACCGUAAGAAUAAGCACCGGCUAACUACGUGCCAGCCGCCGCGGUAA
rnacentral:rRNA from 1 species